AGAUCUUCGCUGGCAACUCUGAUCAGGACACCGAAGUGCGCCACCUGUUGGACCCACCGGUAACUGCACGUUACGUCAGGUUCUGGCCGCAGACAUGGAAUCAGCACGUCAGCAUGCGGGUGGAGGUCUUGGGGCAGGACUGCACCGGUGACUAGACACAGCAUGCAGACUUGGAGAUUUCCGAAGCACAGAUUUGCAUAUAACAGGAUACAUAAUGUACAUGUAUCUGCUUCGUAGUGUGAAGUGAACCGCCAGUUUUCUUCUUUUAGUUAUUGUGAUAGUUUACAGCAUUUACACCUAUGAUGUGUUUUCUUAAAAUUGUUAUCACUUUUGGUUAUCAUCUCAG